UACGAAGGGUGCAAGCGUUACUCGGAAUUACUGGGCGUAAAGCGUGCGUAGGUGGUUUUGUUAAGUCUGUUGUGAAAAGCCCCCGGGCUCAACCUGGGAAUGGCAAUGGAUACUGGCAAGCUAGAGUGCGGUAGAGGGUAGUGGAAUUCCCGGUGUAGCGGUGAAAUGCGUAGAGAUCGGGAGGAACACCAGUGGCGAAGGCGGCUACCUGGACCAGCACUGACACUGAGGCACGAAAGCGUGGGGAGCAAACAGGG
rnacentral:rRNA from 1 species